rnacentral:rRNA from 1 species
AUAAACUGUGCCUGCCAGCGAUCCGCCGAAGUUCCUCCGAUGACUCGGCGGGCAGCUUCCGGGAAACCAGAGCUUUUGGGUUCCGGGGGAAGUAUGGUUGCAAAGCUGAAACUUAAAGGAAUUGACGGAAGGGCACCACAAGGAGUGGAGCCUGCGGCUUAAUUUGACUCAACACGGGAAAACUCACCAGGCCCGGACACCGGAAGGAUGGACAGAUUGAGAGCUCUUUCUUGAUUCGGUGGGUGGUGGUGCAUGGCCGUUCUUAGUUGGUGGAGCGAUUUGUCUGGUUAAUUCCGAUAACGAGCGAGACUCAAGCCUGCUAAAUAGGCGUACCCGGUAUCCUCACGGCUACCGGCGAUACAUAAAUCUUCUUAGAGGGACCGGCGUCUUGAGAAGACGCACGAGAAUGAGCAAUAACAGGUCUGUGAUGCCCUUAGAUGUCCUGGGCCGCACGCGCGCUACACUGAAGGAAUCAGCGCGUCCACCUAGUCCGAGAGGGCCGGGCAACCGCUGAACCUCCUUCGUGCUAGGGAUUGGGGCUUGCAAUUGUUCCCCAUGAACGAGGAAUUCCUAGUAAGCGCGAGUCAUAAGCUCGCGUUGAUUACGUCCCUGCCCUUUGUACACACCGCCCGUCGCUACUACCGAUUGGACGGUUAGGCGAGGCCUUCCGACCGGCGCGUGGAGACCGUUCGCGCGGCCGCCUGGUCGCCGGGAAGAUUGCCGAGCUUGGUCGUUUAGAGGAAGUAAAAGUCGUAACAAGGUUU